rnacentral:rRNA from 1 species
AUUGAACGCUGGCGGCAUGCCUUACACAUGCAAGUCGAACGGCAGCACGGGUGCUUGCCCCUGGUGGCGAGUGGCGAACGGGUGAGUAAUACAUCGGAACAUGUCCUGUAGUGGGGGAUAGCCCGGCGAAAGCCGGAUUAAUACCGCAUACGAUCUACGGAUGACAGCGGGGGACCUUCGGGCCUCGCGCUAUAGGGUUGGCCGAUGGCUGAUUAGCUAGUUGGUGGGGUAAAGGCCUACCAAGGCGACGAUCAGUAGCUGGUCUGAGAGGACGACCAGCCACACUGGGACUGAGACACGGCCCAGACUCCUACGGGAGGCAGCAGUGGGGAAUUUUGGACAAUGGGCGAAAGCCUGAUCCAGCAAUGCCGCGUGUGUGAAGAAGGCCUUCGGGUUGUAAAGCACUUUUGUCCAGAAAGAAAUCCUUGGCCCUAAUACGGUCGGGGGAUGACGGUACCGGAAGAAUAAGCACCGGCUAACUACGUG